GGGGUUGUAGCUCAGUGGUAGAGUGCUCACUUAGCACAUGUGAGGCACUGGGUUCAAUCCUCAGCACCA
rnacentral:tRNA from 1 species